rnacentral:lncRNA from 10 species
CAACAUCAACACCAAAUAAAUCUUUCAAAAAAAGGAAGGACUACUCUUUCUGCCAACAGCAAACACCAAAGCCAACUCAUAUUCAUAAUUACUCAUCUUUUGAAACAUGUUUUGACAUGAAUAACUCAGCAAAGCUGAGUCACUGCCAAACAGUACCAACUUGUGCAAUGGCACUGGAAGAAAUGUGAUAACUACAGAGGCAAACAGCGACUCUGAGAAAAUUGAAUCCACCCUCAUUUGAUCCAGGACUGGAAUGGUUGUUGGUGGAAGAUGGUGCAGAGUCUAAGAGAAUUGACGUAUUAUCUUGGAUCCCAGUGGCAAGGGAACACUUCUGUCCUACAAUAAUCUCUCCCAUCCCCAACAGGAAAAAGGAAGAAGACUGAUAGAAGACUGUGGCCAUGAUUUACUGCCUGAAGCAAAGUACUGCCAGCCAAGGAUCAUGCUGUUUGGACUAUCAGACAGGAAUUGAGGAGAGAGCUACAAUCAUUGUGGAAAAUAUUCGGAUAGUGCUUACAUGAUACAUGACCAAUAAUAAAGAAAGCAAAAUUCUCUCUGUCUCAUUUUUUAAUCAUAAAAGCCACAUUAUGGUUUAUCCAGACAGAAGAUGCAGGCUUGUAAUGGUAGGCCCUAGGAAACCACCUCAAAAUGAAAUGCUGACCUGCCUAUAUGUUACAAAUCUGGGUGAGAUUUGGCCUUUACCCAUCACAUAAAUGCUCAGUUGCUGAAUGAUAUGCAAGACAAGUCAUUAUUUCCUAAAAGGAACUCUUCCAACUUAUAUUGAGAGAAGAAUUAUGGCCUUUUGCAUUUGUUGCUCAUUUUAAUUAAUAAAAAAUAAAAUACUAACAUCCACACUUAUGGCAUCACUUCAUUUAUAUAAAAUGCCUUAGCUAAGUAUUGAAAGCUAAGUUCUAGUGUAAAUUCUGACUGGCCAGUUGUGUGAUUUCAGGAAAGUCACCUGACACUUUGAGCCUAAGUUUUCAUACUUCUAAAACGAGGGGGUUGGGCCAAGGCUCAGUUGGG